UGGACUUUGAAUCGGUGACUUUCUGAUCAAGGACACAACAUUCUAACCCAAGGGUGUAGCAAGGAAUCAUGGACCCCUGGGCAAAAUGUCACCUUGGGCCCCUUUGGUACAUUCUGGCCCCUUCCAGUCUAGGGUCCCCCCCAGCCACAGUCCUGUCAAACCCACACCCUGCCAACACACUGUUCGAUUUCCUGCUCAGAAUAAUUUCAAGUAUCAGAGCCAAGCCUGCCGUGAGCCUGAAGGUCCACAUGAAGUUUCCCGUGGAUACAUGGACAGCAGAAAGAGCCUGACGGAUAAGAUUAACACUUUUAAUCGAUGAAGAUGGUGUGAUCUUAUCACUCAAGAACCCAUAUAUCUUCAGAGGAGCUGACUCAAGGUCACCAAGGACGGAACGGAGAUCGCAGCGUGAACUUGGCACCGGCCCCCGGUCGCACCUCCGCAAACCCCUCCUAGCACAGAGGAGUGCAGAUAAAGCGGAAGAAUGCAGCCCAUCCAUCAUCAUUGUCCUCCUGCCUGGCCACGUUCUUGGGAAUCCCCGAGGGCUGUGCUGCAGGCUUUCUGACAGCAAACACACUGCGGCAACUGCCCAAACAUGUCCUCCCUCUGCGGUCCUCCAGAAAAGCUCGACGAGAAAAAUCAUACCCUCAACUCCCCAAUGGACUCCUAUCAGGAAUCACACAGAAAAAAUAAAACAUCCAUGUCUUUCUAUGUCUGUAUUAACUCUUUAUCCACUACCCCUGAAUUUUUUUUGACUCCAUCCCUAUAAAAAACUAAUUAUGUGUCGCAAAAUGUCAUUUUCCACAUGAACGUUUUAGAAAUAGAAUUUUGACACAAUGAGUAUAGUCCAGUCUUGUGGAUUUUAGAAUAUGUGUUUAUAAUUUUAUAGGGUGUUAGUGACGCACUCCUUGGUAUGCAAUGGAGAGGGGAGUUACUGACCUGCAGGGAAUCAGGUUGAUUGGACGGUUCUGCAUAAAUCCCCUGACUUGCGUUUGCAGUGUGCAAUAAUACUUGAGGACUAUUUCAGUGUUUCUUUGUGAGAGAGACAAGGGACCUCUCAUCGCUGUAGUAAUCUAGGUGUUUACACUGUUCAUUCUGUGACAUCUCGGUGGAGCCCAAAUACAGUAUUCCAUGGGCAAUUACCUGCUUAAUUAAACAAGACCACAAAACCUGACAUGCUUCAUGUUUACCAGAGUGUCCCAAUGGAAGCUUUCAAGAGCAUUCAUUACAAAGGCAGGAAGGGCAGUCUUUCUUUCAUCCAUCCAUCCAUCCUCCAACCAGUCAUCAUGGACAGGGUCAUGGAAAGGCCUGGAGCUGUCCUUCAACAAAACAUGUCACUCCAAUUAGGCUUCCUGGAGGAAGUUCUUUCCUCCUUUUCCUGUAUUGUGUCUUUGCUGAAAAAAGAAAAAAAAAAUCUAUCAGCUUUCAAGUCUCUGUACUAAAAUGGCUGUAUAAGGAGUACUAAGGUUCUGUAAUAAAGGACAUCCUUGCUCAUCUAUCCGUAUGUUUUAAUGUAAAAAACUGGCUGUAUAAGGAGUACUAAAGUUCUGUAAUAAAGUCCUGGGAGGACA